GCCAGGGUGGCAUAGUGGUUUUAGAGCUGGACUAUAGCCCUGGAGACCAGGGUUUGAUUCUCUGCUCAGCCA